GAAUCUUCAUGAGGGGUGGGUGUAUUUCUAGUACAUAUAUAAAGAAUUCUACUAUGACUAGAUUUACACUCAUCCUCCAUGUUAUUCA
rfam:Lutzomyia longipalpis Contig34741, whole genome shotgun sequence.